rnacentral:rRNA from 1 species
GACGAACGCUGGCGGCGUGCUUAACACAUGCAAGUCGAACGGAAAGGCCUGCUUUCCCUUGUGGAUUGCGGGUACUCGAGUGGCGAACGGGUGAGUAACACGUGAGUGAUCUGCCCCCAACUUGGGUAUAAGCCUGGGAAACUGGGUCUAAUUCCCGAUAGGACUGCAGGGUGGUGCCUGUGGUGGAAAACGAUUUUCUAGUGGUUGGGGAUGAGCGCGCGGCCUAUCAGCUUGUUGGUGGGGUAAUGGCCUACCAAGGCGGCGACGGGUAGCCGGCCUGGGAGGGUGGACGGCCACAUUGGGACUGAGAUACGGCCCAGACUCCUACGGGAGGCAGCAGUGGGGAAUAUGGCACAAUGGGCGGAAGCCUGAUGCAGCGACGCCGCGUGGGGGAUGACGGCCUUCGGGUUGUAAACUCCUUUCGACCGCGAGGAAGCCACCUGGUUGGAAGGGUGGUGACGGUAGUGGUAGAAGAAGCACCGGCUAACUACGUG